UUCAUUAGAGUAUCAUCAUUUGUAUUCGUCAAAGUUUUAUAGCGUAUCGGUAGAAUGGAGGUAUAUCAGUCGAUUUUGGUGCUUUGAAUCGCUAAAUCAGGUAAUUCACGUAGCUAGUUCCUGGACUCAGCAAAUCAGAAGUCUCGAAGCUUUUCCAUUUUCGGUUUGAUCUUUAAGAACGUUAAUUAAGAAUUCGUAAAUUAUGUCUUAUUGAUUUUGGAAAUAAAUGCUAUGUGAAUUAUGGUAUAAUUUCUGAACCUGAUUUAAUUUAAUGUUCUCAAGCAUGGCUUUGGUUAAUCUA